UGUGUGUGUGUAAUUUGAACUCGGUUGAUUAUACUGCACGCACUGACGAUAAUUGCAUUCUGUGCCUCUGUCUGCAGUUCCUCCGUUCACCAGCCUCAGGUUUACCAUCUUCUUCAUCUGGACCGAAACAACAAACCAACCAAAUGGUUGUAACGUUCCUCUUCAGACAAGUCCUUCCCCUGGGUGACGUCACACCGGCUCUAACGUUAGGGAAGCUUCCAAUUCGCGGGAAAACAAAGGGUGCCGCAACACCAGUAAAAGCAACAAUUGUAGCAACAGAGUGCUCUGCUGAAAUAGGAAAAAAAGAGCAAGCCUCUGAAGUCAUCAAUGAUCAAAACGUUCCAUGAACUUUUAAAUAAGCUCUUAUUGUGUGUCCGUUUUAGACUUUUAAAGUUGUUGUUUUUGUUUUUGUUUUCGAAUGAGCAUCACCCUCAGAUGAAAUCAGGUUGCAAACUGCUGGACGGCCUUUGCUAACUGCCUAACUCUUCCUGUGCUCUCUGAUGAUUUGUGAUGUCUGAAUUGUGUUCAGAUAAAAUCAGGGUUUUUCAUUCAAUAAUGAAUUGCCAUGAAUAUGAAAAAGAAAACUUAUUUAAUGCAAAUUUUAUAUCUUGACAGAACAGUCAUGUACAUUUUUCGGACUGGUGGAAAUAAAUGAUUAUAUUCGCAAA